rnacentral:rRNA from 1 species
CAGUCGCCACGGUAAUACGAAGGGGGCUAGCGUUGUUCGGAAUUACUGGGCGUAAAGCGCACGUAGGCGGACAUUUAAGUCAGGGGUGAAAUCCCGGGGCUCAACCCCGGAACUGCCUUUGAUACUGGGUGUCUAGAGUAUGGAAGAGGUGAGUGGAAUUCCGAGUGUAGAGGUGAAAUUCGUAGAUAUUCGGAGGAACACCAGUGGCGAAGGCGGCUCACUGGUCCAUUACUGACGCUGAGGUGCGAAAGCGUGGGGAGCAAACAGGAUUAGAGACCCCUGUAGUCCCUGUCUCUUAUAC